CCCCCCCCCCCAAAAAAACAAAACAAAACACGGAACAUCCGCGUCUGAGACCACAAUCCUGCACGGAGAGAAAUGCUAGCUUGCGAAAGACUACCCUUGCCUUUGAAAGCAACAGCAUUUGUGAUGCUCCUUUCAUCUGAGAAGGAACCGCUGGAUUGGACAAAAACAGGUCCAGAAAUCCCAUUGAAAUCUCAUGGCAUAAAACUCUUUCCCCUGAAAAGCAAGGGCGGGCGAAACAGAAGCCGGCCCUCACGGAGACUGAGAACUUGCCCUUUUGGGAUUCCCAGGCUUUCUAAGCUGCCAAUAUUGAGAUUAAAGCCUGUGUUGGGUGUGAAACCUCAACUA